UGGGAAGAGAAGAAGAAGAAGAAUAAAUCAGCCAUGGGUAGAAGACCUGCUAGGUGUUACAGGAAGAUUAAGAACAAGCCUUACCCAAAGUCAAGGUACUGUCGUGGUUUACCUGACCCAAAGAUUAGGAUUUAUGAUGUUGGCAUGAAAAAGGAAGGAGUUGAUGA